rnacentral:rRNA from 1 species
GGAGGGUGCAAGCGUUAUCUGGAAUUAUUGGGUUUAAAGGGUGCGUAGGCGGGAUGAUAAGUCAGUGGUGAAAUCUUACAGCUUAACUGUAAAACUGCCAUUGAUACUAUCGUUCUUGAAUACAAUUGAAGUGGGCGGAAUGUGUCAUGUAGCGGUGAAAUGCCUAGAUAUGACACAGAACACCGAUUGCGAAGGCAGCUCACCAAGUUGUUAUUGACGCUGAGGCACGAAAGCGUGGGGAGCGAACAGGAUUAGAUACCCUGGUAGUCCCACGCCCGUAAACGAUGAUUACUCGGUAUUGGCGAUACACUGUCAGUGCCCAAGCGAAAGUUUUAAGUAAUCCCACCUGGGAAGUACGUCGGCAACGAUG